AGUGGCCCCGCCGCCAGUCCCGAUGGCUCGUUCCGACGCAAUAAGAAAUAGAAGAAGGGCUCAACGGCGCCGCCAAAAUGUGCGCUACGGUUUGCCGCCAAUUCUAGAGCAGAGCCACGAAAAUUCCGCGCAUCAUGCAGAACCCGACCCGCCACGGGAAGAAAUUGUAUCGGCAAGGGCAGCGCGCUACGCCUCCAGAGCGGCAAGAAAAUAGAAAGUGGGAAAAGCUGGGUAUCGAAAUAAAGAUUGGAUAGCACGAAGCCACGACUCUAAACAUUAUUUUUUUGUAAAUUCUGGC